CCGAGACUAUGAAAAUAUUCAUGUGCAGAGAAUUUUGAACUCACCCAUUCGAAGCGGAGCGGGACUGCACGACCUCCAGGAGCACCAUUCCCAGCAAGGGGGAGAAUGGUGAAGAGCAAGAAACCUCUUCAGUGCUGCUUUUAAAAAAUUUCUUCUUUAGCAUGCACCUUGCCGGUCCUGCAAACCGGGCCCUCCUCUGCACCAGCUGCUUGGCUACAGCAGAGGCCAGAGCAGCAAGAGGAGCACCAAGCUGUCAUUCCGUAGACGCAAAGAGGGAAGGGGUGGGUGCACGCUGGGGAUGCAGCCCCCACCUCCCGCUGCGGAUGCUAGGGCCAAUAUUUCAGAGGAAUACAGAGCAUAAUUCCCCUCCAUCUUCGCAGAAUCUACUGGUUCUCUACCUGACAGAGUCCUGUUUCCUCAUCUGACUGGAAACUGCUUUCCUGUGCUGCCUCCAAAAAAUGAAGCGAAAGAGGAGUGCAAAGGAAGAUGACUCCCUUUAAAAAUUUUCUUCCUCUAUUUUUUUUUUUUUCUCCGUUAUUUCAUUCCAGGCCUGAGCAAGUGAGACCUGCAGAAGCUCGGCUGAAUGCCAAGGGAAAGGAGGAGAAAAGCAUAAAUGAGAAGGAGAAACAGAAGAGAAAAAUAGGAGAGAAGAGGAGGACAAACAGAGGCAAAAAAAAAAAAAAGAAUGACUUACAGGAUGUUGGAUUUUCUUUAAUACUUUUUUUUUUUCUUUUUGUCAUUAUUGGGAAGAAGAAAGAGACUGUUGUCAAGGGGUGGUGACUGGGUCAGAAUCUUUCAGAUUUGCCAGACAGGGUCUUUGCAGUAGACUGACAGAGAAAAAAGAAACAUGCUAGAAUAAUUAUAAAGGGUGGAGCUGUCAAAAAAUCUUUGACUCACUGGGUACCUCCCUGUAACGCCAAAAUGAAUCAUUCCUAACUAGAAUCAUCAAUUGUCUUAGUGUACUUGUAUAAUAAGGCCAAAGUAUAUGCCACUGUACCCAUUUUCAAAAAGGAAAGGUAAAUGAGAAUGAGAUUUCCUGACAUGCUUCUAACUUCUCUAUAUUUGUGACAAUACUUCAGCAUGAUUUUUAUAUACUAAGCGAAUUUUCCCUUGUCUGUCUUCACUCUGCUUACAAAGAUUUACAAAUAUAUGACUUAUGAAAGUUUUGCUAUGAACACAUCAUUUUCUCCAUACAACUCAGCGAUGUCUUUGGAGGAUACUUAUUUCAAGCAGUUAACACCUGACCCCAAUUUCUGUGGGUAAUUAGUGAGCUAGAUAACCACACAAAGUGGGUAAUUAUUUAGUACCCAAGGGUACACUAGAAGUGGGUAGUGGCUUUGUUAACAAAAGCAUAUUUCUAAUUAUUGUAUCUAUGAUGGGUGUUUUAAAAAUAUCAGUUACUGUAUUAAGUGAACCAUGAUAAAUAAGUGAACUAUUCUGCCG
ensembl:lncRNA